CCCAGGUUUCACUAAUUGGUCUUGCAGAAGGUCACCUAACUGAAAGUUCUCUAUGGCAACGAAAACGCUGUGCGCAGAAAUGCACCCCGUCAAGAAAACAAAUGAUCUUCGGGGAACAGCUCUACAUGGCAUCUGUUCCAAAGGGGCACACAGGGAAGGAAGACGACUGACUUCAUAUUGGGCUACAGACCAUACGGUGAUCCAACUCAAAAGGAAAAUACGACCUUCAUUGGAAAUUGGAUAUACAGUAAACACAUAAUGGGCGCAUCCCUCCCAUCAUCAGAAAUAUCUACGGGGUGUUGCCUCAAGAAGUGAACAUCCUUCAACAAAGACCCAUGCCAUCUGGGUCAUGUCAUUUUCCCACAGCUACCAGUGGGCAGAAGAUACAGAAGCCUGAAGUCCCACACUAUCAGGUUCAAGAACAUCUACUUUUCUUCAGCUAUUCAGUUCUUGAAGCAACCUGCUCACUCCUUCAGUAAACUGACCAUUACCAUUCUGGACUUUGUGUUUUUUCCUGUUCUAAUUGUGCAUGAUUUUAUAUAAAUUUAUGUUUAAUCUUGUGAAUCUUGUGCCUUCAAUGCUAUGUGCCUGUGAUGUUGCUGCAUGUACAUUUUCCAUUGCUCCUGUACAUAUAUGUACUUGUGCAGGAAACAAGAAACUUGACUUUGACUUUUAUUUUGAAAUAAAUACAAAAUGGUAAAUAUAAGGGAGACUGCAGAUGAUGGAAAUCUGGAGCAAUGCACACAAAUUGCUGGAGAAACUCAGAAGGUCAGGUAGCGUUUAUGGAGAAAAAUUGGCCAAGUCCCUUCAUCAGUCCUGAUACUAAUCCCAGUGACACUAGUGUCCUUGCAAUUGGAAAUUCAAAAUACAAGCCCCACAUUCUGACCAUCCAGUGAUGUCUGAGUACUCAGCUACAGCCAGGUUACACUACCCUGAAAGGUGGAGGGUAAUGAAAACUGUACACAUGGAUCACAAACACCCGUACAAUUUAACAGCUGUCUAGUUCUGCUGAUAGAAAUUAUGUGGCAAGAAAGAUAAAAUAUUGCACAGAGGUACCUCAGAGAUGUGAAGAAAGACAGGAACCCAUCAAAUAUUGGAAAAGAAGAAACUCUCAGUCACCACCUGUAGUGUUAUCUUGCACUGACAGCAGAAACAAAUCUCCCACAAUGCACCUGUAGUGUUAGCUUACACUAACAGCAGAAACAAAACUUCCACAAUGCACCUGCACAACUACCUGAAAACAAUUUCUACUAUUUUGAGAAUGGGACUAAAAUUAAAUCUUCUCAAAGAUAAAUUAAUUUUGGUAUAUUAUGGAGCCGGAAGAUUUUAUAACAUAUCGAAAUAUUUUGCUUUUCGUGACUGUCAAUCGCAUUUGUUUUGCUCUUCAUGAAACUUAACCACCUAACGAUGCCUGAAGAAUAAGAGGCACAGAAAUAUUUUAUAAAGUGAAAUCAACAAUGUUUUAGUUAUAUUUUAGUUAGUAAGAGAAAUUAUUAACUUUUGAACAUUGUCCACAGUAAAUGCAUUCACUAUCAAAUAAACAU